UGCUUCAGCUGAGGGAGCUCAGCCCCCAGGGCAGGAUUCACUGCUGUGAGAUCCCUGGAGCUGGCACAGGGCAUUGAGAAGGGCUUUUCUCAGUGAAAAUGAAGCUCAGAACUGUUUGGGCAGGUCGUACGUGAUCAGCCCAAACGCAAACAUGGACUCUGCUCAGCAUACAAGGACUACUACAGCAUGCUCACCUUUUCCACAGGUGCCUGUGAAGCCUCCUGGUAAUUGAUCCAGUGGUGAACAUAUUUGGAAGUAUUGUUUGGAACAGCUGACUCUAGUGCUAGUCCUGUAAAACCAGAAAAUCUCAGGCACAGUGCUUGGCUGCUACUUCAGUUAAAAUAAAUAAACAAUGGUCUGAGGUAUCCACCAGACUCUUCUGGAUCACCCCUGUGCCAUGGUAAAGUUACCAGAGCCUGCUGACCUGUUUCUCUUACUUAUUCUACAGCCCUCAGUAGUUGGAUCAUCUGCACAAAUGGAGUCAACAGGCAGCAGAUGUAGGACAAGAACCAGAUUUCAUCUCUUUCUUUGCAUUUCUUUUACAAGAUGAAGAUACCUGAUACACUUGAAAGCCAGAAGACCUGUAGUGAUAGCUCAUAAACUGCUGUCCUGAUACACAUGCUGAUAAGCCCAGCUUAUUUCCUUUAAACCCACAUCUGCUGCCUCUCAGGGUGCUGGAAGCCUGUCCUGCAUGUUUAGGGAAUAAACUAUUAGGUUCUUUUUCUAAUUACUGUGUAUUUCUCAGUGUUUAACUUCAUUCUUUCAUUCAGGCUGUGCUUGAAGCAUAUCCUGCCUGAUGUGACUAAGCUGUUGACUCACUUCUUUUAUGGCUGCAAUAAAACUAGA